rnacentral:rRNA from 1 species
GACGAACGCUGGCGGCGUGCCUAAUACAUGCAAGUUGAGCGAUGAAGAUUGGUGCUUGCACCAAUUUGAAGAGCAGCGAACGGGGGAGUAACGCGUGGGGAAUCUGCCUUUGAGCGGGGGACAACAUUUGGAAACGAAUGCUAAUACCGCAUAACAACUUUAAACAUAAGUUUUAAGUUUGAAAGAUGGAAUUGCAUCACUCAAAGAUGAUCCCGCGUUGUAUUAGCUAGUUGGUGAGGUAAAGGCUCACCAAGGCGAUGAUACAUAGCCGACCUGAGAGGGUGAUCGGCCACAUUGGGACUGAGACACGGCCCAAACUCCUACGGGAGGCAGCAGUAGGGAAUCUUCGGCAAUGGACGAAAGUCUGACCGAGCAACGCCGCGUGAGUGAAGAAGGUUUUCGGAUCGUAAAACUCUGUUGGUAGAGAAGAACGUUGGUGAGAGUGGAAAGCUCAUCAAGUGACGGUAACUACCCAGAAAGGGACGGCUAACUACGUG